rnacentral:rRNA from 1 species
UACGGAGGGUGCGAGCGUUGUCCGGAAUCACUGGGCGUAAAGGGUGCGUAGGCGGCGCGGUAAGCGUGCGGUGAAAGUCCGGGGCUCAACCCCGGAUCGGCCGUGCGGACUGCCGGGCUUGAGCACUGUAGGGGCGGGUGGAACUCCGGGUGUAGCGGUGGAAUGCGUAGAGAUCCGGAAGAACACCGGUGGCGAAGGCGGCCCGCUGGGCAGUGGCUGACGCUGAGGCGCGACAGCGUGGGGAGCAAACAGG